AUGGCUCAGAAAGUAGCUGACCUCCGCUGGAACGAAGUACGGUAUAUCAACUGCUAUGCGCUGUUCAUGGGGUACCUGCUGAUGGCUGUUAGGGGGCUGGGCUUCCUCGUCAUUACCUGGUCCACUGUCGUUCUCCUAGGCGGCUUCGUCUCCAAUCUGGAGAAGAAGGACUUUUGGUCUCUCACAAUCAUUACCCUCGUCCUAACACCUCGGGUCUCUGCUGAUGUCGGUCUGAAGGGGAAGUUAAGAUAUAUUGGUUAUUCGAUAUUGGGCCUCACUCAUGCUAUAGUUGCCACGCUGAACCCAAACGGUACUAAAGACACCUGGCCACGCCGACUUCUAGCAGCUGUUGUGUUGCUGUGUCACCUGCUGGUGGGCCCUAUAGUAGUGUGCCCACUAGCGGCUCUCUACAUGUGUGGGCCGCUGUUCAGCGCCGGGAUUUCAGCGUGGCGUCUCAUAGAACAUGAUUACGUCGUCCCCAAGAAGGAAGAACAUACACACCUGCAGCCAGCGCUGAUUGUCUUGUACUCUUUGGCUAUGUUGCAGGGUUUCCUCUUCUGUUACAGGUUUUACUCCUCUUUUGCGCGAGAGGACCUAGUGAACGACGUGGCGGAAGAGUACAAGAUGAACAACAUCAAAGAGGCUGUGGAGGAAUACCUGCGUGAGACGGUGAACAAGUGCGAGAAGGACCCAGCAUUCUUCAAGGAAACAAACCUGGCGACAUAUGCUGUGGGAAUGAUCAAGUCUGAAUCAUCUGAAAGCUUCCUUUCCGGGGCAAAGAUUCUGGACGCGCUGUUGGAGCACGCGCCCACAGUCACAGCAGAGGAGCGCACACUCACAGCAGAGCUCAUCAGUUUGGUGGCGUCCUCUAGCCAUGUACUCGAGAAGCUGCUGCAGGCGCUGGAUUCCACAAGCCCAUACGGCGAGACGAUUAGGGUGGUUGCUGCCAACAUAGUGACGCACCUUGCCAGCAGGAUUCCUCUGAUGCAAUUCCCGCAAGGGAUCCAGCGCAUAGGCUCGCUCAUCGACAUCUCUCAGCAGCAAUUCGAAGAUGACUGGCGUAACGACUACAAGAAGCUCAUGGAGAACGGCUUCGUUAUCCUCCGCAAGCUCGCUGCCGACGAGGACAACUGCAGAACCAUAAGCAACGCCCAGGGCCUGCUCUCCAAGGUCUUGGCGCCGGUAAGCUCCGACCUGCUCCACCUCAUCGACCACGAGGCAUGGUCGACCACCAUCGCAGCCGCGUCGCUGCAAGUCAUGUGCCGCCUCGUGGCUGCUCCGGGAGAGACUGGCGCUAGGCUGCGUAGACAAAUCUCAAGCGACAAGGAAGCGAUCCAUGGCAUGGAGAGGAUCCUAAGGUGCUGUGGAUGCAGUGAACAUGUUCGCAUAUUAACCAUUCAGAUUCUCACGCACCUAGCCAUGGGCAUGGAUGAGGAGUCUGUGCGUGUGAACAAGGAAAGCAGAGAAAAUUUUAUCAAGAUGCUCCCUUCCAUUUUCACCGAUGAAGCCAAAGACUGCUCCAUUAGGAAAUUGGCAGGUGAAGCACUGUUGAAGCUAAGUCAAAGCGAAAACAAUGCUGCCAUCAUCUUGAAGGCAAAUGAUCAUGUUGUCCGCGAUCUCAGUAAAAUCCUCCUUUUAGGUGCUGCGCCCAAGAGCACAAAUCGAAUUAUGGCAGCUAAAACACUCAAGCAUCUCUACGUUCAUUACAAAGAGAAUGAUGAGUAUCUCAGGGCACUCAAGGAAACCAUGGAGGACGUGAUGCCAAAGAUUCUCCGAGAAAUAUUACCCCCUGUUGUGCUGAAUGGAAACGAUACACUAGCAGAAAACAGAACAUAUGGACAAAGUUCUCCUUUGCAAAGCCCCACUGACAUAGAAGCCCAAGUUCGUGCUCCACAAGAUGACGGCCGUAGCAACAACAAUUCAACUUGUCAGCAAAAUGAUGACAAGAAAUUGCACGCAGCUCUAUUAUCUCUUGCUAUGGCAAUAUUUGACAAAUUGAUCACCCAAGAUCAUAAUUUGGCUCAACUGGUCGAUAAAAUUUCUCCUGGAGAUUCUCCAACGAGCUUUGCCAAUAAGCUCAACGAGAUUGUGCGGACAAAGAGUCAGCCCAUGGCAAGUUGCUUGAGCAUGAUGAGGAAUGCCAGCAAGAUGGUCAUAUCAAUGAUGAAACACAGUGACAGCUACCUCAAAGAACACUUCUUGAUGAUCUUCAUCCAAUCUUUGUCCGAUGCUUGCAAGGCCAUGUCAUGUAUCGAGAGCUCUAUGAUUUUAUAUAGUGCCAAUCGUGGCCCAGUGAAGCCUCACAAGACUCUCACUUCUCUACUGAAAGAAGCACAGGAACUUGUAGGCUCAAAGGAGCCAAAAGAGCGGUGA
rnacentral:rRNA from 1 species